rnacentral:rRNA from 1 species
UACGUAGGGGGCAAGCGUUGUCCGGAUUUAUUGGGCGUAAAGAGCUCGUAGGCGGUCUGUCGCGUCGGUUGUGAAAACCCGGGGCUCAACCCCGGGCCUGCAUUCGAUACGGGCAGACUAGAGUUCGGUAGGGGAGUCUGGAAUUCCUGGCGUAGCGGUGAAAUGCGCAGAUAUCAGGAGGAACACCGGUGGCGAAGGCGGGACUCUGGGCCGAUACUGACGCUGAGGAGCGAAAGCGUGGGGAGCAAACAGG